rnacentral:hammerhead_ribozyme from 1 species
AUACAGCGGAGUCCCAAAUAGAACGAAACGCGCGUCCUGGAU